GUCCUAGCCGUAAACGGUGCUGGCUUGCUGUGAAAGGAAUCGACCCCUUUUGUGGCGCAGCUAACGCGAUAAGCCAGCCGCCUGGGAAGUACGGUCGCAAGAUUAAAACUCAAAGAAAUUGACGGGGGCCUGCACAAGCGGUGGAGUAUGUGGCUUAAUUCGAUGCAACGCGAAGAACCUUACCUGGCCUUGACAUGCACGUGGUAGAAGUCUGAAAAGGAUAAACGACCCCGCAAGGGGAGCGUGCACAGGUGCUGCAUGGCUGUCGU
rnacentral:rRNA from 1 species